rnacentral:rRNA from 1 species
CACGUGGGCAACCUGCCCUGCAGAUCGGGAUAACUCCGGGAAACCGGUGCUAAUACCGAAUAGUUUGCGGCCUCUCAUGAGGCUGCACGGAAAGACGGUUUCGGCUGUCACUGCAGGAUGGGCCCGCGGCGCAUUAGCUAGUUGGUGGGGUAACGGCCUACCAAGGCGACGAUGCGUAGCCGACCUGAGAGGGUGAUCGGCCACACUGGGACUGAGACACGGCCCAGACUCCUACGGGAGGCAGCAGUAGGGAAUCUUCCGCAAUGGACGAAAGUCUGACGGAGCAACGCCGCGUGAGUG